ACAUCUGUCUUUAGUGUUGUGUGAUAACAGUUUAUAAUCUGUUAUUUUCCAUAAAAUUAUCUAUAAAUUGGAUAUUAAAUACAUGUGUAUUGUGUACUAAUUGUAUAUGUAAAAUUUAAUGUUUGAAAAAUAAAACAACGAAUAAGCUAAAUUUGUAUAUUGUGAGACAACGUAAUCGUAAGGUGGACAUUGGUACGGGUACGUACGAAGAGACUCGCAACGAGUAGACAGAUAGAGAAAGCGUGUGCGAUUUUCGUAAAUAACAGAGAAGAAAACGAACUUGAUUUCCACCGAUUUUCCGGAGGCCAAACUUGUGGGCGUAGAGUUAAAAUAAGUUUGACGAAAAGCGCAAGGAAUUACUGCAUCGGUAAAGAAACUUACUGUUGUAAUAAUGUGCUAGUGCAGUAAUUUAACUGAAAAUUUCCACUUACGGUUUUGUGUCGAACACAAUUUGUAAACCUUUGUCAACAAGCGAUUUUUCAUAGUAAGUGUGUACAAAAAUAGACAAAAUGAUUCGCCUGAAACAAUUUUAAGUUAAUACAAAAUAAACCAUUAAAAUAUAUACAUAUAAAUAACGCAACUUUACGUCACAACCACUGUUGCUGGGCUAAACGGACGCGUGUGCAUUUAUAUAUUAACACAAAGUGUGUGGUUUCUUUUUGAAGUGUUUGCCAAAAUAUCGGAAAUAAAUUAGAAACAUUGUUGAAUUUUUCCGACAACCACCACUCUGAGUUUGCAUUCGAAAGCGUACACACGAAGCGCACGACGCAGCGAGCAGCAGCAACACAACCACGGCGAAAUCCAAAUCAAAGCGCAUAAUAAAUAUUGGAAAUUUCCAACUAAUGAAGCUGAAGCUUAUGACAGCGGCCAACGACCAGUGAGCAACAAUUCGCAUUUUAUUGCAAUUCAACGAAAAAUCAUAACUGUGUAUGUGUGUGAAAUCUUAACUGUAUUUGCAAAGAAAUUUUCACGGUUUAGAGAAAAUAAAUAUUAUUUUCGAUAAUUUUCCGCUUUAAGUUGUGACACUUCAAAAGUUGAUACAGUUAGAAAAAAGCAACAGCAACAAAAUGUCGCGUUUAAGUAAAUCGAAUUCGUCUAAAAAAGUGUCGCUUUUAAAGACUAAAAAGUUUAUGUGAUAUUCGUAUACGUUCGAAAGUCAUAUAAUAACAACAGCAACAAGCAGCAAAAUAAGCAA